rnacentral:rRNA from 1 species
AGUGAACGCUGGCGGUAGGCCUAACACAUGCAAGUCGAACGGCAGCACAGUAAGAGCUUGCUCUUACGGGUGGCGAGUGGCGGACGGGUGAGGAAUACAUCGGAAUCUACUUUUUCGUGGGGGAUAACGUAGGGAAACUUACGCUAAUACCGCAUACGACCUACGGGUGAAAGCAGGGGAUCUUCGGACCUCGCGCGAUUGAAUGAGCCGAUGUCGGAUUAGCUAGUUGGCGGGGUAAAGGCCCACCAAGGCGACGAUCCGUAGCUGGUCUGAGGGGAUGAUCAGCCACACUGGAACUGAGACACGGUCCAGACUCCUACGGGAGGCAGCAGUGGGGAAUAUUGGACAAUGGGCGCAAGCCUGAUCCAGCCAUACCGCGUGGGUGAAGAAGGCCUUCGGGUUGUAAAGCCCUUUUGUUGGGAAAGAAAAGCAGCAGGUUAAUACCCCGCUGUUCUGACGGUACCCAAAGAAUAAGCACCGGCUAACUUCGUG